CAACAUUCUUGGGGGUGCCAUAUAUAUGGAUCUGUGUAAGCAGAAUAUCGUGUAUAGGCUGAGAUGAUACCCGUAACCUGAUCCGGAUAAUGCUGGCGUAGGGAAAAGAAGUCUUCAUCAUA
rnacentral:ncRNA from 2 species